rnacentral:rRNA from 1 species
AUUGAACGCUGGCGGCAUGCCUUACACAUGCAAGUCGAACGGCAGCACGGGUGCUUGCACCUGGUGGCGAGUGGCGAACGGGUGAGUAAUACAUCGGAACAUGUCCUGUAGUGGGGGAUAGCCCGGCGAAAGCCGGAUUAAUACCGCAUACGAUCUACGGAUGAAAGCGGGGGACCUUCGGGCCUCGCGCUAUAGGGUUGGCCGAUGGCUGAUUAGCUAGUUGGUGGGGUAAAGGCCUACCAAGGCGACGAUCAGUAGCUGGUCUGAGAGGACGACCAGCCACACUGGAACUGAGACACGGUCCAGACUCCUACGGGAGGCAGCAGUGGGGAAUUUUGGACAAUGGGCGAAAGCCUGAUCCAGCAAUGCCGCGUGUGUGAAGAAGGCCUUCGGGUUGUAAAGCACUUUUGGCCGGAAAGAAAGGCUUGGCGCUAAUACAGUCGGGGGAUGACGGUACCGGAAGAAUAAGCACCGGCUAACUACGUG